rnacentral:miRNA from 1 species
AUCACUUAGGCAUCUUGUUAAAAUGCACAUUCUGAUUCUGUAGGUCUGCUCUGCAGCUCUAACAAGCUCCCAGGUGAUGCUGAUGCU